GGCGUGCGGAGCUGCAUGCGGGUGACGUCGAGACAACCGCCAGGAGGGGGGGCGCCGGCGGCAGCGCAUGCGAAUCUGAAGCCGGGCUGCUGUUGUUGCUGUUGCAGUGCUGUGCGGGCAGAGAGGGAUAAGCGAGUAAAAGUUGGGGAGGGAGAGCAGGGCGGAGGCGGGAGGCCAGGGCCGCGGGGGCACCGCAUUUACACAAACAUACACAGAUACUUGUAACCUUCACUCACACAAACAUACACACACACACACAAGAAGCAGCAGGUAUGAAGGUAUCGAGCUGCGCAUGUUGCUCUGUGGAACUCUUAAUAUGCUCUCAUGGUGAUGAAAUGGUGAAGUGUCAAAAGGUUGAUGCAAAUGGCGUGGAUGAGAGUCGCGCCCCUGGCCCAAGAAGAGCGCUGGCACCCGGAGCGACGCGGCGGGAGGCGAAGGCCGGUCGAAGGGGAUAAACGUCCAUGGGACUGCGUCGACUAAGGCAACUGAUAAAUACCGAACGAAGAUUGACAAUGAGGGGCACGCUGGGCCAUUUUCCUAGGAAAUCCCAGCGCUCCGUGACGUCCAUCGCCAGUCAGCAACGCACCCGCAAUGACGAUGAACGUGAGGACGUAUCAAACGUGAACGCAGGGUCGAAGCUGGUUGACGUUAAUGCAAGGUUCAGAGAACCCAUUCUGCUGGAAAAGUAGUCAGGACAUCCCUCACAGUCACUGAAGGUGUCUGCGACCUCCUCGAAGGCUUCCAUUAAUUAGGGAACGCAAGACGGGCCGCCAAGCUUUCCGUGGUGAAUACCAAGACAGAGUCUGCAAAGGAAAACGAGAAGGCAAAAGCGGGCGCCUUGGGUUCGACGCUGGACUAGCCCCAAUUUCCAAGUCGUAGACCAAGCUAGGCAUCAGGUAAAAUACCUUUCCCUGUAUGCACUGUGCUCAAGGCCACACCUCAGUUCUACUGGCCGCUGCAAAGGAAAGCCGUGCCUCGAGGCAACAACAGCUCUCGAGUUUUUGCAGUGAGGCAUACCUGUAGACCAUAUCCUUCAGGGCCAGCGGUAUUUCAUCCUUGUGCACACAGCGGGCCUCCCGAGGGACUCCCAGCAGCGCUCCUUCAACCAAUCCGCGAGCUUCAAUACGCUAAAUGAUGGUGGUUUACUUCACAACACUAGUCUCACUUUAAGCUUCAGCAAAUAGUCACCGUGCACCUCUACAGUAUGCCACACUUGCACAGUACUUUGCCUUCGCCGCCUCUACCGCAAGCUUUGUAUGCACAACCUUUUGACUUGCUGAGUGACUAGCAAAAUGUGGUGACCCGGGGGGUGCUUGGUAGCUGAAGGUGGAACAGAGGACGUAGGUCUCUAAUAAAAGUAUAGGCUUCAACGUUGUGUGGUGUGGUGUGAAGGUUGAUUAUUAUUUCUCAGCCGUUCCGUAUCCGUGAUACCUGUAUAUUCAAGAGAUACUGCAGUACUUGCGGUGUACAGGACCUCCCAAGGAGAAAAGCGCUAAUCCUACGGUCUCAGUGGACCAUUUCAGUGGCGAUUGGUAACAUAGUAUAUUCUUGGCAGUCAUUCCUUCAAAACAUGCCUGGACGCUCCCGUGCGUUCGCAGAGGACGGCAACGGUUUCGCAGGCAACAGGAUAGAUGUUAGAGCUGUCAGGUGAAAGGUCUAAGAAAAU
rnacentral:lncRNA from 1 species